rnacentral:rRNA from 1 species
CCUACGGGAGGCAGCAGUAAGGAAUAUUGGACAAUGCCCGCAAGGGUGAUCCAGCCAUGCCGCGUGCAGGAAGACGGCCCUAUGGGUUGUAAACUGCUUUUACACCGGAGAAAACCCCCCUACGUGUAGGGGGCUGAUAGUAUGGUGAGAAUAAGCAUCGGCUAACUUCGUGCCAGCAGCCGCGGUAAGACGAAGGAUGCAAGCGUUAUCCGGAUUCAUUGGGUUUAAAGGGAGCGUAGGUGGCCUUAUAAGUCAGUGGUGAAAUCUCCUCGCUUAACGAGGAAAUUGCCAUUGAUACUGUAGGGCUUGAGUACAGUUGCUGUGGGCGGAAUAUGACAUGUAGUGGUGAAAUACAUAGAGAUGUCAUAGAACACCGAUUGCGAAGGCAGCUCACAAAACUGUAACUGACACUGAGGCUCGAAAGUGCGGGGAUCACACAGGAUUAGAUACCCUGGUAGUCCGCACUGUAAACGAUGAUUACUCGCUGCUGGGAGGUAACUUUCAGUGGCUUAGCGAAAGCGAUAAGUAAUCCACCUGGGGAGUACGCCGGCAACGGUGAAACUCAAAGGAAUUGACGG